rnacentral:rRNA from 1 species
UUUAUGGAGAGUUUGAUCCUGGCUCAGGAUGAACGCUGGCGGCGUGCCUAAUACAUGCAAGUCGAGCGAACGGACGAGAAGCUUGCUUCUCUGAUGUUAGCGGCGGACGGGUGAGUAACACGUGGAUAACCUACCUAUAAGACUGGGAUAACUUCGGGAAACCGGAGCUAAUACCGGAUAAUAUUUUGAACCGCAUGGUUCAAAAGUGAAAGACGGUCUUGCUGUCACUUAUAGAUGGAUCCGCGCUGCAUUAGCUAGUUGGUAAGGUAACGGCUUACCAAGGCAACGAUGCAUAGCCGACCUGAGAGGGUGAUCGGCCACACUGGAACUGAGACACGGUCCAGACUCCUACGGGAGGCAGCAGUAGGGAAUCUUCCGCAAUGGGCGAAAGCCUGACGGAGCAACGCCGCGUGAGUGAUGAAGGUCUUCGGAUCGUAAAACUCUGUUAUUAGGGAAGAACAUAUGUGUAAGUAACUGUGCACAUCUUGACGGUACCUAAUCAGAAAGCCACGGCUAACUACGUGCCAGCAGCCGCGGUAAUACGUAGGUGGCAAGCGUUAUCCGGAAUUAUUGGGCGUAAAGCGCGCGUAGGCGGUUUUUUAAGUCUGAUGUGAAAGCCCACGGCUCAACCGUGGAGGGUCAUUGGAAACUGGAAAACUUGAGUGCAGAAGAGGAAAGUGGAAUUCCAUGUGUAGCGGUGAAAUGCGCAGAGAUAUGGAGGAACACCAGUGGCGAAGGCGACUUUCUGGUCUGUAACUGACGCUGAUGUGCGAAAGCGUGGGGAUCAAACAGGAUUAGAUACCCUGGUAGUCCACGCCGUAAACGAUGAGUGCUAAGUGUUAGGGGGUUUCCGCCCCUUAGUGCUGCAGCUAACGCAUUAAGCACUCCGCCUGGGGAGUACGACCGCAAGGUUGAAACUCAAAGGAAUUGACGGGGACCCGCACAAGCGGUGGAGCAUGUGGUUUAAUUCGAAGCAACGCGAAGAACCUUACCAAAUCUUGACAUCCUUUGACAACUCUAGAGAUAGAGCCUUCCCCUUCGGGGGACAAAGUGACAGGUGGUGCAUGGUUGUCGUCAGCUCGUGUCGUGAGAUGUUGGGUUAAGUCCCGCAACGAGCGCAACCCUUAAGCUUAGUUGCCAUCAUUAAGUUGGGCACUCUAAGUUGACUGUCGGUGACAAACCGGAGGAAGGUGGGGAUGACGUCAAAUCAUCAUGCCCCUUAUGAUUUGGGCUACACACGUGCUACAAUGGACAAUACAAAGGGCAGCGAAACCGCGAGGUCAAGCAAAUCCCAUAAAGUUGUUCUCAGUUCGGAUUGUAGUCUGCAACUCGACUACAUGAAGCUGGAAUCGCUAGUAAUCGUAGAUCAGCAUGCUACGGUGAAUACGUUCCCGGGUCUUGUACACACCGCCCGUCACACCACGAGAGUUUGUAACACCCGAAGCCGGUGGAGUAACCUUUUAGGAGCUAGCCGUCGAAGGUGGGACAAAUGAUUGGGGUGAAGUCGUAACAAGGUAGCCGUAUCGGAAGGUGCGGCUGGAUCACCUCCUUUCU